rnacentral:rRNA from 1 species
CCUGCCCACUGAAUAAUUUAAAUGGCCGCAGUAAUUUGACUGUGCAAAGGUAGCAUAAUCAUUAGUUUUUUAAUUAAAAGCUUGUAUGAAGGGUUGGACGAGAUAAAAUCUGUCUUUAUUUAAUUAAAAUUAGAAUUUAAUUUUUAAGUUAAAAAGCUUAAAUGUUAAUAAAAGACGAGAAGACCCUAUAAAUCUUUAUAUUAUAAUAUUUAAUUUUAUUUAGGUUUAUUUAUUUAUUUUUAAAUUUUAUAUUAUUUUAUUGGGGUAAUAAAUAGAUUAAAAUAAUUCUUUUUUUUAUUUACAUUGAUUUAUGAUUUUUUGAUCCAAUAUUUUUGAUUAUAAGAUUAAGUUACUUUAGGGAUAACAGCGUAAUUUUUUUAUAGAGUUCUUAUCGAUAAAAAAGUUUGCGACCUCGAUGUUGGAUUAAAAAUUGUUC